ACCAUGAGGACAGAGACAGGUCCAAACCAUGAGGACAACAGGUCCAAACCAUGAGGACAGAGACAGGUCCAAACCAUGAGGACAACAGGUCCAAACCAUGAGGACAACAGGUCAAAACCAUGAGGACAGAGACAGGUCCAAACCAUGAGGACAACAGGUCCAAACCAUGAGGACAACAGGUCCAAACCACGAGGACAACAGGUC